UACAGAGGGCGCGAGCGUUGUCCGGAAUCACUGGGCGUAAAGGGCGCGUAGGUGGCCACUAUAAGGCCGCGGUGAAAGUUCGGGGCUCAACCCUGAAUCUGCCGCGGCGACUGUAGGGCUAGGGCACCGUAGAGGCAGAUGGAAUUCCGGGGUGUAGCGGUGGAAUGCGUAGAGAUCCGGAAGAACACCGGUGGCGAAAGGCGGUCUGCUGGGGCGGUGAACUCGCAAGAGUUCAAUAGCCGACACUGAGGCGCGACAGCGUGGGGAGCAAACAGG
rnacentral:rRNA from 1 species